rnacentral:rRNA from 1 species
AUUGAACGCUGGCGGCAGGCUUAACACAUGCAAGUCGAACGAGUGGCGGACGGGUGAGUAAUGCUUGGGAAUCUAGCUUAUGGAGGGGGAUAACUACGGGAAACUGUAGCUAAUACCGCGUACCAUAGGAUGAGCCCAAGGGGGAUUAGGUAGUUGGUGAGGUAAAGGCUCACCAAGCCGACGAUCUCUAGCUGGUCUGAGAGGAUAAUCAGCCACACUGGGACUGUGACACGGCCCAGACUCCUACGGGAGGCAGCAGUGGGGAAUAUGGCACAAUGGGCGGAAGCCUGAUGCAACCAUGCCGCGUGUAUGAAGAAGGCCUUCGGGUUGUAAGGUACUUUCAGUCGGGAGGCGUUACCGACAGAAGAAGCACCGGCUAACUCCGUGCCAGCCGCCGCGGUAAUUC